GUGAGGUGAUGACAAAGUUUAUCCAUUCUCUGAGUGCAGUCGUGCUGCCCUCCUGCACCACCCUGACUCCUGUUCUAGGAUCUGGGUGCUGUUCAGCCUCCAGAGUCCUCUCAGUCUCCCAGUGUUCUACUGGGGGCUGCUAUGGUGUCUGGUUGGCUGCCUGCAGGAGUGAAGUGGCACUGGCAGGGUUAGAGCUUCUCUCUGGGGGGCUCUGUCCCUACUGAGAUGAGGAAAUGAUGUCUGAUCAC
rfam:Calypte anna contig64227, whole genome shotgun sequence.